CACAAGCAGUUUUCCAAGGACCAGGACUUCCCUCAGGUAAGUGUUACCAAAACAUGGAUUCAGACAAGUAUUUCCAUAGGAACUGGGAGGGUAAGGCUUGCAGUUAACCUUCCAGAACAGAGGAGUCUCCGAUGAGACUGAGGAAUUGGGACAGGAAAGUGCUGUCAGUAAGUGGAAAUGCGAAACAGGUUUGCCUGCUUGAGUCUUCCCUCGACCACACCGACUCCUGGAAAAGAACAUGCAUGCAACUUAUAGAGCUAGACAACAGAACUGCACCUGGAGGACAGGAAACUAUGACAUGAUUUGACCUUUCACCUUUUUAGACCUUCCCAAAGCUUCCUUUCUGUCUAAUCCAACCAUAAAGGGCAUGUUAAUCGAUUAUUAACCAGGUACUGACAGGAACACUGAGACAGGUUUGCUUGUUGUAAUUUAAUUUGCUGUUGUAAUUGUAAUUUAAUUUAAUAAUUGUAUUUGAUCCAAGUCUCUGGUACACUAACUGUCAGUAUUUUUCAGCAUAAGGAUGCAUCACCUGAAAAAAGCAUAUUAGAAGUUGCCACUCCAAGCCCCGGGCAUCAAUAAAGUCAAUCCACGUCAAAGCGUACCAAAGCCUUCUUAAAUAGCACAGCUCUGCCCCCUCUCACUUCUAUCUGCUGUAAAUUUGAAAGCUUUUUAUUUUUUAUUUUUUUUUGCAAGGUCCCAGAAGAUAGACUGUUGCACAUGUUACUGCUCACAGCAGAAAACAGGCCAAGUGUUUUCAAGUGUUCAUGGGUGUUGUUUUGUAGGGGAAUCUUGCCCAUCACAGGGGAACCUGAACUUGUUUUCCCUCCACACACAUGGCCAUCCCACCGCUCAUAGGCUCAUCAGCCUUCUGUAUAAUUAUAUUGCUUAUAAAGAAUUCAAUAUUUUGUUUUAACUGCGAUAAGAUCGAAGCUUUAAGUAGAAUUAGACUGUGCCUGACCAAUUGGUGUAAAAACUUUAGGGCCAAGAACUCGUGACUGUACUGCCUGACUUUGUUCUAAAGUUUUUCAGGGUGGGAUCUCACCUGUCAGAGGUGAACCUCCACUGUUUUUAUUUUUUAACAAAAUUCUCAAAAACUUGCACAAAGUCUUUAUCUCCACAUUCUUAUCUCUAGUUAAACCACAUCCAAACAGUUUUCUCACACAGUGUCCCUGCUCACACCGAGGACAAGGCCAAGUAUCUGUAGGCCACCCCACAGUGUCCCUCAUAGGUUCAUCUGCUUGGGUUUUACUUAGUAGAGAAAAAUGCAGGUAACUAAAAGACACACACACACACACACACACACACACACACACACACACACACACACACACACACACACACACACACA
ensembl:lncRNA